ensembl:lncRNA
CCCCCCCCCCUCGCUUAAUCUUCUAUCAAUACGCGUUGUGUGGUUCGUCGUGUUUGCGGGAUGCGGUUAGCUAAACAAAAGCACGAGGCACGAACAGAUAAGCGCCGAUAAGUUCCUCGUGGAACGAGGCGGCGCGCGCGGUCCGUCCUGAUGACGCCACAAAGCACCGGAGACACGCGCGCUCUGCGCCGGCUACUGUCAGUCCGCGUGCCCUCAGAUAGCGUGCGCUGUUUGGGCUUCUUGUUGAACCAAACGGCGUAGCGCCACAGCCGCAACGACACAAAGCACUUUGUCGGUGUGGCGCUACUUUCUCCGGCUAGAGAAACACGCUUUUCUUUUAGGGAAACCCACUGAAGCACAACGCGGCUUUAACACACCUGCGCGGCAGGUAGACAACACAACGUGUGAGCAGACACACUACUGUGUACUACGACACAAACAGCCCCUCGACCGCCACAAGCGCUGCUUUCAACGGACCGUGGGCAUCAGUCGGAGCUGCAUUGUUGACAUUGGCUUCCUGACGUCAUGCCGGCCCCCAUUCACAACAACGGCCAAGCCCCCCUCUGCUAUGGAGACGGAGCCCCCCCCGCCUUGGUUUCGCGUACUGAGACUGUACACGUCAUUAAAGUACGGAAGAUUAUUGUUUUUUAUUAAAGCUUUUUUGGUCUGCUCAAUAACAUUUCAGUAAAUAAUUUAAUAAUUUAAUUUACAAUUUCCCGAAACCCAAAUGGAUUCAUAUGUCUUGAAUCGAUGAAGUCCACAAACAUGAGAUAUUCUUACCAAUUAAAAGUAAAAAAAAAAAACAAUGUUUGGAAAUUUUUCUUGAAAACUGAUAUAAACAAUGAAUAAAUCAAAAGUUUCCUGACUACGUACUGACUAAUAAAUUAAUUGAAGCCACGUUUUGCUGGAUUAAAGCAGUUAACUUAAUAUUCA